UACGUAGGGGGCAAGCGUUGUCCGGAAUCAUUGGGCGUAAAGGGCGCGUAGGCGGCCCAGUAAGUCCGCUGUAAAAGUCAAAGGCUCAACCUUUGAAUGCCGGUGGAUACUGCUGGGCUAGAGUCCGGAAGAGGCGAGUGGAAUUCCUGGUGUAGCGGUGGAAUGCGCAGAUAUCAGGAGGAACACCAGUAGCGAAGGCGGCACUCUGGGCCGGUACUGACGCUGAGGAGCGAAAGCGUGGGGAGCGAACAGG
rnacentral:rRNA from 1 species